GACGAACACUGGCGGCAUGCCUAAUACAUGCAAGUCGAACGAGCUUCCGUUGAAUGACGUGUUUGCACUGAUUCCAACAAUGAAGCGAGUGGCGAACUGGUGAGUAACACGUGGGAAAUCUGCCCAGAAGCAGGGGAUAACACUUGGAAACAGGUGCUAAUACCGUAUAACAACAAAAUCCGCAUGGAUUUUGUUUGAAAGGUGGCUUCGGCUAUCACUU
rnacentral:rRNA from 1 species